ACCAUGAUUUCUAUGGUUUCCGGAAUGAAGAAACUGGUGAGAUUAACAUCUUAUAUAAAAGAAAGGAUGGAGGAUAUGGACUUAUCAUCCCAAAAGAAGAUGGCAAUGCUGAGAAAAUAGAAACUGUGACGGUUGAAGUAGCCAGAGAAGCCUCCUUGGCGGAAUGAUUGGACUUCACGGAGGAAGUUGCAUGUUCAAGAUUACAUUUGCUUAAAACUGCACAACUUUGACUGGAGCAUCUGAAGGCCUUGCUUGCAGGGAGUAUGUACAUUUAAAUUUGAGGCUACUUGAUGAUGAAGACAAUUUUGUGUUGGGUACUUGCAGGGAGUAUGUACAUUUAAAUGAGAUCUAUUUAAGUGUUGGGUACAAUGAGAUGCACAAUAUUAUAAUAAAUGAAAGAUUCUGCAUGCAGGGGUUAUCUUUUGUAAUCAGAAUCUCUUUUCUACUGGCAUGGCCAGUUCUGGUUAGGUUGUACUGUUUGUACUUGAAUCUUGAUUCGUCUCACUUCCUUUCUUAAAA